rnacentral:rRNA from 1 species
UAGGAUCUACCUAGUAGUACGGAAUAAUUGUUGGAAACGACAACUAAUACCGUAUACGCCCUACGGGGGAAAAAUUUAUUGCUAUUAGAUGAGCCUAUAUUAGAUUAGCUAGUUGGUGGGGUAAUAGCCUACCAAGGUAAUGAUCUAUAGCUGAUCUGAGAGGAUGAUCAGCCACACUGGAACUGAGAUACGGUCCAGACUCCUACGGGAGGCAGCAGUGGGGAAUAUUGGACAAUGGGCGAAAGCCUGAUCCAGCCAUGCCGCAUGAGUGAAGAAGGCCUUUGGGUUGUAAAGCUCUUUUAGUGAGGAAGAUAAUGACGGUACUCACAGAAGAAGUCCUGGCUAACUCCGUGCCAGCAGCCGCGGUAAUACGGAGAGGGCUAGCGUUAUUCGGAAUUAUUGGGCGUAAAGGGCGCGUAGGCUGGUUAAUAAGUUAAAAGUGAAAUCCCGAGGCUUAACCUUGGAAUUGCUUUUAAAACUAUUAAUCUAGAGAUUGAAAGAGGAUAGAGGAAUUCCUGAUGUAGAGGUAAAAUUCGUAAAUAUUAGGAGGAACACCAGUGGCGAAGGCGUCUAUCUGGUUCAAAUCUGACGCUGAAGCGCGAAGGCGUGGGGAGCAAACAGGAUUAGAUACCCUGGUAGUCCACGCUGUAAACGAUGAAUGUUAAAUAUGGGGAGUUUACUUUCUGUAUUACAGCUAACGCGUUAAACAUUCCGCCUGGGGACUACGGUCGCAAGAUUAAAACUCAAAGGAAUUGACGGGGACCCGCACAAGCGGUGGAGCAUGUGGUUUAAUCGAUGCAACGC